GACGAACGCUGGCGGCGUGCUUAACACAUGCAAGUCGAACGGAAAGGCCCUGCUUUUGUGGGGUGCUCGAGUGGCGAACGGGUGAGUAACACGUGAGUAACCUGCCCUUGACUUUGGGAUAACUUCAGGCAACUUGGGCUAAUACCGGCUAGGAGCUCCUGCUGCAUGGUGGGGGUUGGAAAGUUUCGGCGGUUGGGGAUGGACUCGCGGCUUAUCAGCUUGUUGGUGGGGUAGUGGCUUACCAAGGCUUUGACGGGUAGCCGGCCUGAGAGGGUGACCGGCCACAUUGGGACUGAGAUACGGCCCAGACUCCUACGGGAGGCAGCAGUGGGGAAUAUUGCACAAUGGGCGGAAGCCUGAUGCAGCAACGCCGCGUGCGGGAUGACGGCCUUCGGGUUGUAAACCGCUUUCGCCUGUGACGAAGCGUGAGUGACGGUAAUGGGUAAAGAAGCACCGGCUAACUACGUG
rnacentral:rRNA from 1 species